rnacentral:lncRNA from 1 species
CUGGUUUUAGACAGAAGGUCCACAUAGGUGCCAAACAGCAUUUUUACCAAGAACCCUUAUCUUCCUCUUACUCCUUUUUUUUUUUGGUACCGGGGAUCGAACUAGGGUCCUUGCGCUUGCGCAGCAGGCAGCAAAACCACUGAGCUAAAUCCCCGGCCCCUCCUCCUUCUCCUCUUACUACCUGCAUGUGACCGUGUUACAGCCCCUCUCACCCUCAAACCCUUCCCAAAUCCCACACCCCCAGGAGCAUAGAAAAAAUCUUACAAAGGAAUUAUUUACUGUAGGGCCACAUGAUUACAGAUGCUCAGUAUCAUCAUGGGAGCUUUAGGUAGGGAAAACUUGGGAAAUGAAUGCCUGAAUAAGGGUAUAAAAGAGACAAAGAAAGAGAGGUGUUUCUUUUCUAAAUUUGUGCUCUUCUUAAAAAAUAUACAUUACAUUCUCAUAAAGGAAAAUACAGCCGCAUUUAAAGGAUUUCCUUUCACCAAAUUGUCUCCGGUCCCUUAAUUGUAUUUAAGCCUGGCUGAGUACUUUGUUUACGGUCCCUAGUGCCGGUUGCGUCUCCCUCUGGCUUGCUGGGCUGGCAGUGGUCUCAGUCUCAUUCUGGCGGAGAAAGGUAAGGAUCUUUUCCUUGCUCUUUGAAAGAUCUGGGAGAGAAAUGCAGAAUGCAGACGGGGAUUGGGAGCGGGGAGGACUGAUAUCAUGUAUGCAUCUGAGGCUCUCAGAAAAGUUCGGCAAACUUAAAGGAGACUCCUCAAAGCUCCGUGCUUUAAGAAAAAGAGCCUGCGAAUUUUCCCCUCCCUGCUGGAAGGAUAGGUUUUGGCAGAAAAUAGGCUGGUUGUGUUUUGGGUGAAAUGUUGCUCUUGGGGACAGCAGGUGGCCCUGCAGGGAUCCCAGAACGGGUUUAAUCCUCACAGGAAAGGGGUGCAAGAAGAAUAAACAUUCCCAAGCAUUAGGCAGUGAUCGCCCGGAGUCCUCUCUGAAUUUCCAUUUGAAGAUGUAAAGUUUCUUAAAGCUGUGUGUGACAGUGGUUACCAUGAAAGGUAUCUGUUCUUCUGAUAGCAUUUCUGCUCCAUCCCAGAGCUUCUUAGUUCAUUGAAUUUAUCAAUAGGAAUUGCUUAUUUGCUUGCAGUCUGGAGCUGUGUGUUUGCAUACCUAGGCAGAUGGGCACUUGCCACCCUGUAGAUGUAGAAAGAGGGUGUGGGGUAGGGGUCACCUGGAGCCUGGGAAGGUCAAAGCUUGGCAUCAGAAGUACGUGUAGGGGUCGGGGAUGUGGCUCAGUGGCACCACAGCCUGCCUCGCAAGCUCAAGGUCCUGAGUUCGAUCCCUGGUAACGGAAAAAAAAAAAAGAAGAAGAAAGAAGGUGAAGGGGAAGGCAAAAGGGAAGGGGAAGGGGAAGGCGGAGGAGGGAGCAGGAGGAGGAGGGAGGAGAAGGAGGAGGAGGGGAACUUGCAAACCUCCCCAUGCUCCCAGGGAGCAGUCACACUCACUGUUGCUCAGUAUGGACUAAGCCCAGGGCUCACCAUGAUAAAAGGCGCUGCCAGCCUCCAGAGGAUGAUUGGGUAGGGGGACUGGGGAUUGAACCAGGAGUACUGUACCGCUGAGCUAUAACCCCAGCCCUUUUAAAAAUUAUUUUUAAUUUUGAGACAAGGUCUCCCUAAGUUGCCCAGGCUGGUCUCACACUUGGGACCCUCCUGCCUCAGCCUCCUGAGUAGCUGAUAUCCUGAGUGUGUACCACCAACCUCAGCAGGAAGCAUGAUCUUUCACACCAUAAGGGAGUGCUCAGAGCUUACUUGGAGUUACUGGCUUUUUCUUUGUUUUGUUCUUUCUUUCUUUUUUUUUUUUGAAUUAAGAAAAUAGCCUCCCCUGUAGUCCUAGCACUUGGGAUAGUAAGGCAGGAGACUGAGUUUGAAGCCAGCGUGGGCUGCCUAGUGAGUUCAAGGCUGGCACAGACUACACAGUGAGACUCUGCCACCCACACACACACACACACACACACACACACACACACACAAACAAAGCCCCCAAAGGCGACCAUUCUCUGGUGAGAAGAUUGCUGCUCUUUUAAGAACCUCCAGGGCCAGGGAUUUAGCUCAGUGGCACCACACCUGCCUUGCAAAUGUAAAGUCCUGAGUUUGAUCCCCAGUACCCCCAACACACCAAAAAAGAACAACCCUCCAAUUGAGUAGCCUCACCCCCGUCAUCUGUCUUCCAAGAGUGCUUCUGCAAGUUCCGAAAUGUCACGCUUCUAAGUAUCUCUGAUCUUCAAGCACCAGGGACACAGUCUUUGUGCAUGAUGCUUCUGUCCCGCAGGUCCCAUGUCUUAAAACCAGGAUGACAGAGGCCGAAGGUGGCUCAGCAUGCUGGGCUCCCCUUUCAUCUUCAGCUUUUGAGAUGAAAAAGCCCUCUUCUGGCUUCCACUCUAGGGGAAAGGGCUUGUGGUCCCUCUCCCUUUGUGACAAUACUAUCAGAACAUUGUUACUAGUCCAGGCUGGGGAGAGUAGGGUGUCACAGAGCAGGUGAGAGGUGGGAGGACAUCCCAGCCCUAUGCCAGCAACUGCAGAGAUCUGACAAUUCCAGGGGAAGCAGGAAGAUGAAUCUCUUCCAAGACUCACUGUGUGUUGGCAGGUUCACUGUAUUAAAAGGAGUUAGUAACACUUGCCGGGAUUUUAAAAAUGGACCACAAAGUACUUUCAGCUACAGAAGUAUAGGGAUGAGCUUCUAAUAGUCUCUUAGGAUCAUCUUCAUUUUUUUCUCAAGAGAUGAUCCAAGGAGGCUGCAUAUAUUUCAAGUACUUUAAAAUUUCAAAUAGCUUGUCUGUAAGAGAGCAUAAGCCUUUAAGGCCAUGUAUAGUGGUGGGAAAUAGACUUCUUUAUUUUUUUAAAUUUUUUAGUAGUGCUGAGGAUCAAACCCAGGACCUCAGAUAUCAUUGAGCUCCACCGCCAGCCUGGAACACACUUUCAACUUUUACUGUUUGAGAACAGGAUGUGUCAAAUUGCACAUUUGAAUGUUUUAAAAGACUUCGCUCCUUCAAGUGGGCCAAGGGACAUCUAGGUGGGGACCUUGUCACAGACUUACUGAACCAGAAUCUACAUGUAAUAUUGAUGUACACAUUAAUGCCUGGGGCUCAAACUUAGCUUUUCUUUCUGCCCGUGUGAUCUUUCUCAGGUUACUUAACCUCUCUGAAUCAUCAUUUCCUCACUUAUAAACUAAUGAAAAUUAAUGUUAGUGUGCAGUAUUUGGGGGGGGGGGUACCAGGGAUCAAACUUCAGACCUUGCUCUUACAAGGCAGGCACUGGAACCACUGAGCUAAAUCUCCAGCCCCAUUGUGCAGUAUUUCUUAACAUUAAGCCAUGCUCUUUAAAUGGCGGUGAUGUUAAUGAUGACAAUGAUGAGGAUUUCAGAGCUGCCAAAGUUACUACAUCCUUACUACAACAAUCUUGUUUCAGUUAAGCUGACUGGUUUUUUUCCCUUAACCACAAACAUUAGCAUUCCCCAUCCUCAUUCCUAAAUGAAUUAAUAGCAAACGGGGGUGGCGUGAGUGAUAAGCUUCAGAUGACCAUAUAGACACGACCCAGGAAUGUGGCUUUCUGCUGAUGUACAGGCUGAUUUCACUGCUAAUUCUGUGCCUCCCCGGAGUUUCUGCCCUGGGCUCUGCCCCUCUGUGCCUCCCUGGAGCGUCUGCCCUGCGGCUCUGUCUCCUCCCUCAGCUGGGUCUGCUUCGCUGACUCUGGGAUUCUCUCCUGAAAACGCCUGAUGGGUGGUGGGAGGAAGAUCUGGAGGUUGGCUGGGGGAAAAUGAGUAAUUCAAAGCAGCCUGCUUCUAAACGCUGCAAGAGAAAUAAACGUAAAAGCUAGCCUUUGUCUCUGGAGACGCUGUGGAAAUGAUCCUAACUUUUGGUGUCACGGAGCAGAGUCUGGGGAAGCAGAACUCGGAAUCUGCUGGCAAGGAAAAGAACUAGGGGAAAAAAGAUAGGGAGGGGCAGACCGGAGGGGGAGGGAUAAAAGAGAGAGAAGGAAAGACAAGCGUCACUUAGGUGGAGAGGUAGCCUGAAAGAAGAGAGACCUCCAGGAUUCAAAACCAAACCUACAGUGGAGUCUUUGUGUACUUUUUUCUUUUCCCUCUAGGAGAUCCCUGUCUGACCUGUCAUUUUCCUGACCACAUUGCUAUGACAGGCUCGCUCUUUCUCAGAAGUUAAAGGAAGACCCGCAGCUGUGGCUGAUUCUUCCCCUCCUCCGAGCCCAGUGGUUUCCCUGGUAAUGGACAACCUCCUUCCAAGCUUCUACCCUGGGGAGACUCUGGAGCUCUAGUCUGUAAACCUAGCUAGGAAGAACCGCUGUAAAAAUGACUGAAGAGCCUGUAAAAGAGAGCCCGGAGUCCCAAAGUCUCCCACGCCAGCGCCGAUGGAGAAAAACCCCAAGAGCGAAGUGGUGGUCACCACAGUCCCCCUGGUCAGUGAGGUCCAGCUGAUGGCUGCGACAGGGGGGUGCUGAGCUCUCCUGCUACCGCUGCAUCAUCCCCUUCGCCGUGGUGGUCUUCAUCACAGGGAUAGUGGUCACCGCCGUGGCUUACAGCUUCAAUUCCCACGGCUCCAUUAUCUCCAUCUUGGGCCUGGUUCUUCUCUCCUCUGGACUUUUCCUGUUAGCUUCCAGCGCCUUGUGCUGGAAGGUGAGACAAAGGAGAAAGAAAGCCAAGCGACGGGAGAGUCAGACAGCUCUGGUGGCCAAUCAAAGAAGCUUGUUUGCUUAAGACUGAAUGAGACCAAAUGGGAAAUGCGGAAGGAAAACCUGCUGUGACUCAGUCAGCCCAUUCAUCCAGGACCGGCCGGGGAGGGGAUGAUCUGGCUUUGGAGUAGACUAGAAAAAUGGGGGUGGGUUGAAGGGGAAGGCUGGAUGUAGUCCUCAUUUGUGAGGAACGACCUGUCUUCUUUAAUGUCUGCUUUGUGAAUGCCUUCUUUAAUGACAAACUUAUUCCUAAGGGCUGUUUACUAAGACAGAAGAAUCAGCUUUCUCUUUAUGUUAUACACUUUGCCGGGGGCAUAGGACAUACACAGCAUUAGGGCCGUGUUUGGUUCACUUUGGGAAGUAGCCAAGGAGUGAUGAGAAAAUAAUGAGAUAGUCCUGGGACAAGAGAUGCCUGCCUCCAAAAGAAAUAACCUGCGCUCUUUAAGAAGCUGUAUUAUAAAAAUGUUCUGCUGAAGGUCUACAUUGCCUUGGACUUGACAUACUCAUAGGAAAUUCUAGGAUAAUAUGUUUCCAUAUGUUGGUUCGCUGGUGUUUCGUUUUAUUUCUCACUUUCCGUAACUCAUCACUGGUGGUACUUUACCUUGAAAAAUAAACUAAUAUUUUUUAUAUUGUAACAUUGGACAGUUUUAGGUGAUUCUAAUGAUGAGUCAGAAAUAAAAUAAAAAGUAUAGCUGAUAGAUGAUGUGGGGGUUAAGUUAAUAUUAAAAUAAUCAUGUAUAGCACUUUUGAUGAUUUUUAUAUAAAGGUUUAAUGUACAUUUUAUUCAAAGUAAUAAAUACUCCUUGCUGCUGAAAUUUUUUUUUUCUGCUGAAAAUUUUUAAAGAGUUGCUUCUGUUUUAGUUAUUUCUAUUGCAGUCCCAAAUUGUCCAUCUUCCCUGUUUUCUUUCUUUCUUUUUUUUUUUCAUACUGGGGAUAGAACUCAGGACCUGCGCUUGCAAGGGAAGCGCAGUGCCACUGAGCUAAAUCCUGGCUUCCCUGUUUUCAUUUGCAAAAUAUUGAUUGUGUUUUCUCAAAUGGGCGUGUGUUGCUUCUUGUAAAUUUUAUUGGAAGAUUUUUUAAAAUCUUCAUUACUUCGAAGAAUAGUAUUAUUAUCCUUACUAUAUGCUAAGGAUUUCUGUGCUAUUAUCAUUAUUAUUAGUAGUAGUAGCACCAAGGAUUGAACUUAGGACCUUGCACUUGUGAGGUAGGUGCAGUGCCACUGAACUAAAUCUCUGGGUCUCUAUGCCAUUAUAUUUAGGAAAUUAAUGCCUGGAAUCAGAAAUUUUAUAAUGUUCCAUUGCGUAUGAAUUGCAUUAGUGCUGAAUUAGUCAUUAAUUAUUUGCUUAACACAGGUUUCUGAGCACCAACUAUAUGCCAUGCAUUAUGUAAUCUUGCAGGCAGCUGGCUCCAUGGGUUCAAACUGUAAAUAAGGUUAUUGCUUGAAUUCUUCUGUGGACAGUGAACUGUCCCACAAUGAAGACUCUGUCCCACAACUCCAACCAGAAAUAUUCCUCAUUCAUAUAGUUAAACCACAUUAAACCAGAGCAAGGAAAUAGGCACAAAUACUUAAAGCUUGGUUAAAAAAAAAAAAAUCAAAGCCAAGCCUAGCACAUUCCUUGAAAGGCGUUCUACGAGGGAUUUGUAUUGAGGAAUUUAAGUAAACAUGGCAGGAGCCCUCUGGUAAGAGGACUCCCUGGUGCUCGCAUAGUUUUAGUAGCUGGAAAUGCCUCAAUGAUUUUAGAAGUAGUCAAGAUUCCGCCCAGCCAAUGCGCAUGAGUGGAACUGUGCCCAUUCAAUGUCCAUGGAUAAGGCUGAGUUUGACUCGGCUCUUUCUGCCCCAAGAGAGUCAUUCUCCCCACUGCUGUAUGAAGAAAUUUCUCAAGCAAAAUUCAAUGUUCUCCAGUCUGUUCCAAACAUGUGUAUCAAUUUUCACUCUCACUCUCACUCCCAAAGCUCCACCAAGUUAGCCAGACUAUUUGCCAUUCCUGCAAGGGCUCUGGUUUUCCUGCCUUCCUGUCUGUCCAGAGUUCUCUUUUCCCUCCGCUAUAAUGAUAAUGCCACCCUUUCCUCCAUCGCAAGCCACCCCAGUCCUGGUUUGUGUCACCACUCCCACUCCGAUGCCCUCUUCUGAAAGCCUCCCUUUAUCUGAGUAACUGCUCUCUCACCGGUUAUUAUCUCUUCAGUCUCUGAAGAUGCCACUCACUUCCUCUCAGGUUGGUGGUAUAAUAUUUCAUUCCACUUCCAAAGUCCCUUAGAAAUGUGGAAUGUCCUUUUAGUUAACUCUAAUGUUAUAUUUAACGUUAAGUCUCAUAAAGGAACGCCACAUGAACCUAACUGAGAUACUAAGUGAACUCAAGAAUGAAAAAUCAGAAAGUGUUAUUUGGUGCUAAGGACUUUGGGGUGGGGGGUUUGCUGAAGACUGAAUCCAUCUCAUACUUGUUACUAAGCAAGCACUGUACCACUGAGAUAAAUUUUCAACCCCUAAAAACCUUAUGUUUAACUGAGAACUUUCCCCCAGAUAGAUCAUCCCACUCCACCUGCCUCUAGUAUAAGCACUAGGUCUAGAUGAGUAUUUACUACCUUUGUACCUUCAGCUAGACCUGACCUCCUGCUCAUCCACUCUUGAAAAGCAAACUCAUGAAUUAUUUCCGGCCACCAGGGGGCCUCAUAUUGCAACCUGGGUCCUGGACUAAUGUGGAAAGAAUUAUAUUGUAUGGACCCAAAUGGGGUCACAUCUGGAGAUAGCAAUGUUUCUCCUAGCUGUGAGGAGUUGGAGGAGAUUCUCCCAUUGCCGGACCCCCUAUUCUCUUCCCUAAAUCACCUUACAGUGGCCAUCUCAGGGCUCUUCCAGCAUGGCAAGGACUUGCCCUAUCUGCGGAACCUCCUUCCAGUCACAUUCAAAGGUGUGCACCCCUGCCAAGCUAUAAGGCACAGGGAUGAUCCUACUAACCAUGAAGGACAACUCCCAGGAGGAAGACUAGCCUUGAAUUAUAAUCACAGUUCUCCUAUAACCUGUCCUCACUGAGCCACAUGUAGCUUCAUGAACGGUUCUAUUGUACACAGGUGAGUGUUAAAUGUGUGCAUAGAUGAUGUCAUGUGUAUAUAAAUAUAUUAAAAAGAUCAUCUGACCUCAUCCCCACCCAUUAGGAAUCAGCCAAAUCAAUGGCAGGGUUGCCCCCUCCCUGACCAUCCCAGAGUGUACAAGGACAAUACCUAAUUUAACCUGGCCUGAGGGUUUCUAGCUCAGGCUAGGAGGACUGAUGUCUGAAGACUCUGCUCUCCCCACUUUACUGUCUUUGUUAAUCUAGGGAACCUUGCCUAAAGAGGGUGCUCAAGAUCAUGUGGUCUUUUCACCUCCAUUCACUCAGGGAAGGGGGAAGGAAGACGGUGAAGAGGAGGAAGAGUUACAGAAGGAGGAAGAG